rnacentral:miRNA from 1 species
UUGUCCUACUUCUCAGCUGUCU